rnacentral:piRNA from 1 species
UCAAUUGGAGAAGCAAGAUGAUGUUGGGGU